GGGGAAUAUUGCACAAUGGGCGGAAGCCUGAUGCAGCGACGCCGCGUGAGUGAUGAAGGCCUUCGGGUUGUAAAGCUCUUUCGCACGCGACGAUGAUGACGGUAGCGUGAGAAGAAGCCCCGGCUAACUUCGUGCCAGCAGCCGCGGUAAUACGAAGGGGGCUAGCGUUGUUCGGAAUUACUGGGCGUAAAGGGCCCGUAGGCGGUGUGUCAAGUCAGGCGUGAAAGCCCCGGGCUCAACCUGGGAACCGCGCUUGAGACUGGCACGCUCGAGUUCGGGAGAGGAUGGUGGAAUUCCCAGUGUAGAGGUGAAAUUCGUAGAUAUUGGGAAGAACACCGAUGGCGAAGGCAGCCAUCUGGACCGACACUGACGCUGAGGCGCGAAAGCGUGGGGAGCAAAC
rnacentral:rRNA from 1 species